ACUUUACUGCAAAUACAAACUUGACCCUGUCACACACUCAGAGGUGGAGCCAUGAGCAACCCCUCCAGCAAUGAAACAUUAUAUGAGUUGUUAUUAAGUAAGGAGUUGUUAUUAAGGAGCUGUUAUUAAGGAGUUGUUACCAAGGACUUGUCCUAUGCUUUUUAUUGGACGCGUGUGAUAGGCAUCGCGCUCGCUGAAGGUGUUUGCCAUCAGGGAAGUCGUGUACUGUAUACGCAACUGCACACAAUUCUGUUCUGUUCGGGUCUUCCUCAAGCCAUAAACCAUCAAGGGAGCAGACGCUUCGAUUCAUCUCAAAGGCGUCUGUCUGUCUACACUGUCCAUCCAGAGGGAGGGGCGGGUUCCCCCCCCCCCCCUUUGUACACGUUUCUGAUGCACAAAAAAAUUGUUAGUUUUUAAAGUUUAACCUUUCUCAUCUGACAGCGUAUCGUACCAUACGCAUAUAUGAUUCUGCUUGUGAUUCGGGGUAUUUGAUUUUAUUUCCAAGUGAAGAUGCUUUUUCGAGCGUAUGCAUAUUUUAUCACGUGCUGUGGGGAGAGACAAAGGUGGCCGGGAUCUUUCCUAUCUCUCUAUAUCUUGAGUUAACAUCGCUCAAAUAUCAUUUCGAUCUUAUAUUCAACCAGUUUGAUCCACCCCGUUAUCUUGGCUCUUAGUUUAUUAAUUUUCGUCAUUCUGUCUUAUCAUCAUAUAAAUGUAUUGCGAUUUCUCUUAACUUAAAACUCGCUUGCGUGGUUGUGGGGUGGGGCCAUUAUUGAGCCCACGUGCGUGUGCAGAUGGCCUGAUAAUGAUCUCUUUGCUCUGGCGUGAAAUUCCUUUCUCGCGCUCUGCGGGAGAUACAAAGGCGGUCGGGAGUACCUCUAUUUCUGGCUGCUUUCGGUUUAAUGUUUCUCAAAUAACAUUUGGUCUUAUCUUCACUAAGGCUCGUGUUUUGUAACUAUGUCCUCCCGACACACCUCUCGGGUUACCGAGAUUCGCAUUGUUAUGAUGGAGUUAUUAUUUAUUUUAUAAUAAAGAUGUUUAUCCUGAG